UACAGAGGGUGCAAGCGUUGUUCGGAAUUAUUGGGCGUAAAGGGCGCGUAGGCGGUCUGUUAAGUUCGGUGUGAAAGCCCCCGGCUCACCUGGGGAACUGCGCCGGAAACCGACAGACUCGAGUACCGGAGAGGAGGGUGGAAUUCCUGGUGUAGCGGUGAAAUGCGCAGAUAUCAGGAGGAACACCAAUUGCGAAGGCAGCUCGCUGGGACGUUACUGACGCUGGAGACGCGAAAGCGUGGGGAGCAAACAGG
rnacentral:rRNA from 1 species